UACAGAGGUCCCAAGCGUUGUUCGGAUUCACUGGGCGUAAAGGGUGCGUAGGCGGUCGGGUAAGUCUGAUGUGAAAUCUCACAGCUUAACUGUGAAACUGCAUUGGAUACUAUCCGGCUCGAGGAAUGGAGGGGAGACUGGAAUACUUGGUGUAGCAGUGAAAUGCGUAGAUAUCGAGAGGAACACCAGUGGCGAAGGCGAGUCCCUGGACAAUACCUGACACUGAGGCACGAAAGCUAGGGGAGCAAACAGG
rnacentral:rRNA from 1 species